rnacentral:misc_RNA from 1 species
UUAACUAUUAUAUAGUACUCAGACGACACUAAUAAACAAGAGUUUGUGGUCCUCUGGCGGGCGCGCACCAACCGAAGUCGGUGGCCGAAGCGGCCCGCCAAAGCAACAAAGGUUUUAAUAACAUAGGGUUGGAGAGUCACCCGUGAGGGCGAUGUUCUCUGUAAUGAUCCCUCCGCAGGUUCACCUACGGAGA